GGAAUAUUGGGCAAUGGAGGAAACUCUGACCCAGCGACGCCGCGUGCGGGAUGAAGGCCUUCGGGUUGUAAACCGCUUUCAGCAGGGAAGAAGCGAAAGUGACGGUACCUGCAGAAGAAGCACCGGCUAACUAUGUGCCAGCAGCCGCGGUAAUACAUAGGGUGCAAGCGUUGUCCGGAAUUAUUGGGCGUAAAGAGCUCGUAGGUGGUUCGUCACGUCGGAUGUGAAACUCUGGGGCUUAACCCCAGACCUGCAUUCGAUACGGGCGAGCUUGAGUAUGGUAGGGGAGUCUGGAAUUCCUGGUGUAGCGGUGGAAUGCGCAGAUAUCAGGAGGAACACCAAUGGCGAAGGCAGGACUCUGGGCCGUUACUGACACUGAGGAGCGAAAGCGUGGGGAGCGAACAGGAUUAGAUACCCUGGUAGUCCACGCCGUAAACGGUGGGCACUAGUUGUGGGGACCUUCCACGGUCUCUGCGACGCAGCUAACGCAUUAAGUGCCCCGCCUGGGGAGUACGAUCGCAAGAUUAAAACUCAAAGGAAUUGACGG
rnacentral:rRNA from 1 species